rnacentral:rRNA from 1 species
UGGGGAAUUUUGGACAAUGGGCGAAAGCCUGAUCCAGCAAUGCCGCGUGUGUGAAGAAGGCCUUCGGGUUGUAAAGCACUUUUGUCCGGAAAGAAAUCCUUGGCUCUAAUACAGUCGGGGGAUGACGGUACCGGAAGAAUAAGCACCGGCUAACUACGUGCCAGCAGCCGCGGUAAUACGUAGGGUGCAAGCGUUAAUCGGAAUUACUGGGCGUAAAGCGUGCGCAGGCGGUUUGCUAAGACCGAUGUGAAAUCCCGGGCUCAACCUGGGAACUGCAUUGGUGACUGGCAGGCUAGAGUAUGGCAGAGGGGGGUAGAAUUCCACGUGUAGCAGUGAAAUGCGUAGAGAUGUGGAGGAAUACCGAUGGCGAAGGCAGCCCCUGGGCCAAGUACUGACGCUCAUGCACGAAAGCGUGGGGAGCAAACAGGAUUAGAUACCCUGGUAGUCCACGCCCUAAACGAUGUCAACUAGUUGUUGGGGAUUCAUUUCCUUAGUAACGUAGCUAACGCGUGAAGUUGACCGCCUGGGGAGUACGGUCGCAAGAUUAAAACUCAAAGGAAUUGACGGGGUCAUAGCUGUUUCCU